AGUUUUAUAUUCAAUAAAUGAUUUUAAAUUGCAAAUUUAAAGUAGUAAUAUAAUAUUACUAAAGCUU
rnacentral:tRNA from 1 species